rnacentral:rRNA from 1 species
AGCUGGCGGCGUGCCUAUACAUGCAGUCGAGCGAAUGGAUUAAGAGCUUGCUCUUAUGAAGUUAGCGGCGGACGGGUGAGUAACACGUGGGUAACCUGCCCAUAAGACUGGGAUAACUCCGGGAAACCGGGGCUAAUACCGGAUAACAUUUUGAACCGCAUGGUUCGAAAUUGAAAGGCGGCUUCGGCUGUCACUUAUGGAUGGACCCGCGUCGCAUUAGCUAGUUGGUGAGGUAACGGCUCACCAAGGCAACGAUGCGUAGCCGACCUGAGAGGGUGAUCGGCCACACUGGGACUGAGACACGGCCCAGACUCCUACGGGAGGCAGCAGUAGGGAAUCUUCCGCAAUGGACGAAAGUCUGACGGAGCAACGCCGCGUGAGUGAUGAAGGCUUUCGGGUCGUAAAACUCUGUUGUUAGGGAAGAACAAGUGCUAGUUGAAUAAGCUGGCACCUUGACGGUACCUAACCAGAAAGCCACGGCUAACUACGUGCCAGCAGCCGCGGUAAUACGUAG